rnacentral:rRNA from 1 species
UACGAAGGGGGCGAGCGUUGUUCGGAAUUACUGGGCGUAAAGGGCGCGUAGGCGGCCGAUCAAGUCAGAUGUGAAAGUCCUGGGCUUAACCUGGGGACUGCAUUUGAUACUGAUUGGCUUGAAUUCGGGAGAGGAUAGCGGAAUUCUCAGUGUAGAGGUGAAAUUCGUAGAUAUUGGGAAGAACACCGGUGGCGAAGGCGGCUAUCUGGACCGACAUUGACGCUGAUGCGCGAAAGCGUGGGGAGCAAACAGG